rnacentral:tRNA from 1 species
CCUUUGACUGCAAAUCUUAAGGAUUAGGUUCGAUUCCUACGUAAUCCUUUAGGGGGUUAGCCUUAGCUU